ensembl:lncRNA
CGCAAGCAUGUCUGCUAGCCUGCAUUUAAUCUGCUUUCGCAACUGUUCUUUUGGCUUUAUAGUAGCACAAGCAGCCGAAGAUCUCCUGUUGGAGUCAGUGCUUUCCCAAAGGGAUCCCAUCUUCCUGUCAUUCAGGCUUCCUGUGAGAGGCCCUGGCGUGCCCAGUCACAACUGGCCAGGAGCCUGUCCCCUCUGCCUCUGCAGCCCCUCCUGCCCGCUCUGACCCUGCUGCUUGUCAACUGAAGGACUCCAAGGACCCAGGUUAGAAGAAAAAUCCCCUCUGUGAGGGAGCCAGAAUGUGCAACUGGGCUAAUAAUGGUGCGAAAUAUUAAACUGACUUAGAAACAGCAUGUGAACACACCCCAAAUGUGACUGAUGUACCCAGAGUUAGCAAACAGUACCAGGCAUGCAGGGGCAGCGCUGCAAACAAGUACUGCUGCAGAUCUGCAAGAAAUGGCUGGAAGCCACUGUGCCCACUGUGCAAUGUCGAUGGCCAGAGACUGGCUGAGCCACAUAAUCAAACUAAU